ensembl:snRNA U6 U6 spliceosomal RNA
AUGCCUCACUUUGGCAGCACAUAUACUAAAAUUGGGACGAUAAAGAAGAUUAGCAUGGCCCUUGUGCAAGGAUGACACACAAAUCUGUGAAGCGUUCCAUAUUUAA